CCACCCGUGGCACCGGCACCUGGGCCCGCUGCUCAAGCUUUCCCUUUCCCAUGCCCCGCGGCUACAGGUCCAGUCCCCCUAAGUGCCAACGCCGAGCACAACCGGCCCAGCCGUUGGCAUCUCCCUCCCCGAAGCCAUGGCCAUGGGGCGGCCCGUACGGCUUGUGCUGGAUGCCUCCCUCCUCCUCGAGCCCUCCGCCACCGGGGGGGGGGGGGGGGGGGGGAAGCGGCAGCUCUGCGGCCCGGGGCGGAGGUGCUUCUGCGGCGAUUGCGCUACUCCAACCUGACAGUGGCAAUCUGCUAUGUGGAGAGCAUGUCGAUUAAUGAGUCAGGCUUUCUUGAAAAGGUCGCAAGUUCACACUCCUUUGGAUGCAUGCCACUUCUUGUAAAAAGCGGGAAUUGUUCUCCAAACGAGUCAAUGUUGGAAUGGAGUCAAACAAGUUCUUGUUUUUAUGCCACUUCAAGAGCUCACAAAGGUUUAAUUUCUGAGCUUCAGAAUCACAACUGGAAAGUUGUUUCUGUAGGUAAUGAAGUUCCUGGGGUUUUAAAUGUCGGAAUGCUUCAGGAGUUGCUUCUCACUUUGGCUACUUUGAUAAAAAUAGAAAUAGGUGGCUCAUCUGUUCUGGUGAUUGGGUAUGUAAUGAAACAAUCCCGCGAGGUGGACUUUGCAAGGAGAGGAGCAUUUCCCAUAUAUCCUAGUAAGCACAGUCUUAUCUUUGUUCCUCUUUCAUUCGAACUUCCUCUAAGUUCACAAUUGCAAGAAGUUGAUAUGGUCCUCCACAAAAUAACUGAUGAGAUUGUCAAGAUUGAUCCAAACUGCUCCACUGAUUUUCCAAAAGGCAUUUCAUUUUCUGCAGGAAUGUCUGAAAUCAUAAGGUUUGUGGAAGAGCACCCUGAUUUUUGCAUCAUCGAUCCAUUUAAAAAUAUUUACCCGUUGCUUGAUCGUCUUCAAAUCCAAAAUAUCCUAGUCCGAUUAAAAGAACUUGGCACUGAAGGAAAGCCAAAACUUCGAGCACCAUAUUCUUUGAAGGUUGAUAACUUUCAUGAUGGUGAAUUAGAUAAGCAUCUAGCAGAAGCUAAUUUGUCAUUCCCACUCAUUGUGAAACCACAAGUAGCUUGCGGAGUUGCUGAUGCCCACAAUAUGGCAUUAGUUUUUCAAAUUGAAGAACUUAGCAACCUUGGUGUGCCUCUUCCAGCGGUGCUACAGGAAUAUGUCGAUCAUGGAUCCAAGAUUUUUAAAUUUUAUGUAAUUGGAGACAAAGUUUUCCAUGCGAUUAGGAAUUCAAUGCCUAAUGCAAGUUUUCUGAAGUCAUCAUCAGGAGGAGAACCUCUUACAUUUAAUAGUUUGAAGACUCUUCCGGUGGCUACUAAGGAGCAGCAACUGCAAGCGAGCAUGCGAGACAGCAAAUCAGUGGAUGCUGAUUUAGUAGAAGAGGCUGCAAAAUUUCUGAAGGGAUUGCUUGGACUAACGAUUUUUGGAUUCGAUGUUGUCGUUCAGGAGGGCACCGGAGACCAUGUCAUAGUGGACCUAAACUAUCUCCCAUCCUUCAAAGAAGUUCCUGAUUCUGAGGCGGUGCCUGCGUUCUGGGAUGCAAUCAGGCAGGCAUACGAGUUGAAGAGUGGGAAGGCGCAAACUUAGUUCAUGGCUUCCCAAUGAUUGAAUCUGCUAAGAGCCAAAUGUUGCAGCCUUGCAGGAGAGUUUGUGAAUUGCACUGUCGCAGGCAGAGUGUUCACUGAAUGUAAUGAUUCUAGAGCAAGCACGAAGUAGUAAUGUUUAGCUCCACUUGUGGCCAAGUGGGAAUAAGUGAAGAUGGAUAGCGUAAUAAUGAACAGAAUGAACAAACCAAACUGUGUUAUUUUAAUCUCAUCCUUUCUGUGCACUUCGUGUCA